ACUUCUAUACAAUGUAUGAGUUGCAGUCUUAUUGUCUGACUAGCUUGUCUUCGUUGGGAUGUCUUUGAUUAUGAUACAGUCCUGAUAAAUUGAAAACUACAACAACAGGAAUUCCCGAGCUUCUUCACUGGUAUCGGACUUGGUAGCAUGGUAGACACAUGACAUGCCACUGGCACUGGAAAAGUUGUGAAAGGACUUGCCUUUGUCUAAAAAAGUUCUAAAAUAUUUCCCCAUCAUGCACAGUAUCUUCGUAAAAGAGAUAUGGAUUCCCGUUACAGUUAAAACGGAAUAAAACUGUGUAAUAUCAAAUGAAACACAGCAGAUGCAA
rnacentral:lncRNA from 1 species